AUUAUUGGUCCAUCAAAUAAAGUGAAGGCAUUCUAUUUAGGAUCUUUGGUAAUUGACUUGUCAAUCAGCUUUAUCACCAGAGAUGUGUUUCCUUUAAAGCCUUACUUUCAAAUUCCUAUCUCCUUGUCAUUUAACAUAUAGGGAAUUCAUGAUAUCAGAAUUUUUGUUGUUUCAUGAGUUAAGAGAUUGAGUAUCUCCUAGUGCGGUGUUGUUGAUGAAGGAAAUUGGUCGAAAUGUCUAUUGACUCCAACAAUAUCUCAAUAGUUGAAUAUUUGACAAUACUUCAUGUGUCAAAUCCAUCAGUAAAUUCUGUUUGUACCUUCAAAACAGAGACAGAGUCUGGAACUUCUCCUCCCCAUACCAGGACCACUGCUGUGGUGCAGGCUCCUUGGUACUUGCUGUCUUUUCUGCUUUGUCUCUUAACACUUAUCUGAUAUAUUUUACUUUUUUAUGAACUCUGUCAUAUUCACUGCCUGUCAUUUAGACUAGUAUGUAGGCGAUUUUUGUUUCUUGUUUGCUGCUGUCUCCCCAGUGCAUUAAGCAGUACCUGACACAUAGUAUGUACUCAUAUACCUUAUUUUGUAUACAAAUGGAUUUGCUUUAUUUUCUUCUUUCUCAAAGUAUUUUUAAAAAGCAUAUCAGUAAGGACAUAUUCUUGGUGCUUUUUUCAAUUAAGAUGUCCAAAUAAGUAUAACCUCCUUAUUAUUCACAUACACUCAGUACAACCAAUUCCCAUCUGUCAUUCACGGUAGCACCUUGAUAGUGUUUAAAGGGAAAUAGGGAAUAGUCCCUGGUAGGGGAGCAUUUUUAAAGGAAUGGAGGAAGCAUCUUGAAAGAACAUCUGAUGACAGACUGAUGUAGUUAAAAAUCUAAAGUGCAAGAACACUGGAGUGGGUUGCCAUGAAAAGGGUUGUCAGGGCUGCGCUUUGGCAGGAAGCUCAGCUGAUCAGCAGACUUAAUUCUUUUUGCAACCUGAGUUCCUCUUUGCCCGGUAACUGAACAUAUUCAUAGGUUUUGGAGAUUAGGGUGUGGACAUCUUUGGAGGGGGCAUUAAUGUACAGACCAAUAAAAUAUUUGUCUUUUCCAGAUGGGUUAAGCUGUCUUCUAAAUUGGGCAACACAUUUUGUAUUAGUUUUCC
ensembl:lncRNA